AACAAUACCAUGAAACCAACAUUUGAAGAAUCAUGUUUAAAUCUAAGCCUCACUGACACACAAGUAUACCGUACUAGAUUUAACCAAUUUUUUUAAAAUCAAAACAAUACCAAUACAAAUAUGUCUUAAUAAUCACAAAGUUUAGAAUCAAAUUUUUACAGUGCAGCACAAACAAACUAAAAACUGGAAUAAUCUAAAUUACAACUGAGUAAUUGAACUAAAACUUGCAACUCAUAGUGGGAUUCAGAUACCCUAUAUACUGAAUUUUGAAUCUCGAUACUUAAAACUCAAACCUCCUCUCUUACCAACUGUGCUAAGACUUUUAUUAAUGGAGAUUUAACAAUUGACAUCAAAAUUUAUAUAAAACAAUUAAUUAAUAUUACACAACCAAAACAUGACUACCUAGACGAUGAGUAGAUCAAGGGGGCAAAAACAAAAGAAAGCAUCUCAAAACUAAAAACACCAUUGACAUAGUUAAUUAAACAAGCAUUUAGCAAGUUAGAAACAUUCAAGUACCAUCAGGCCGCAUUAAUCUUUUCCUUAACAGUGGGUUGUGGUCCUGUUCAAAACAAUAAUAAAAUAUCAGAAAUAUACAAGCUUGAUAAGGUUUUGCCUAUGUUAGCAAAAUAAAACAAGGAGAGAAAGGAAGAUUGAAACAAGAAAAGCAGAAAGACCCAGAAAGCAGGAAGACGUUAAAACAUACCUUGUAAAAUUUGGGUGUCAUUGGGAAUCCAUGGAAAAAGCUAAAUCCAAGAAGAUGCCCCCACUCAUCUAUAGAGACAGUUGAUUUGUUUCCUUCUAAAACCGAGAAGAUGCGCCGGAUAUUGGGAAACUAGGGUAAAAAUUUUGGGGGAGAAGAAGUUGGGGGAAAUUUGAGGGAGAAGAAGUUGGGGGAAAUCGGGGAAAUUGACUUUGGCAGAGAGUAAAGCAAUUUCGGGCCACACAGAAACGACGCCGUUUUAGUUAAAAAAAUUUAGAUUUUGUGACGUUUUCAUAAAACGCCACUAAUAAAAAUAACAACAAAGUAUAAAACGACAGCAUUUUGCUUCCAUGGAUAAUUGUGGCGUUUUUCAAUAAAACGCCGGUAAACUUUAAUAUCAUUUAGCCUUUAUAUUUUUAUAACAUUAUUAAUUAAUCAAAAUACUUAAUAUUAUUAACACUAAUUAAUCAAAACUCUAUACCUUAAACCAUUAAACUAUAUCCCUAUAACCUUAAUCCCUAAAGUAUAUCCCUUAAACCCUAAACUAUAUCCCCUAACCAUAAACCACAAAAUAAUAACCCCUAAGCCUUAACCACAAAAUGUAUAGAUUAAUCAUAACCUUAAACUAUAUAUCUUGAUCCUUAAACCACAAAAUAAUAACACUAAUUAAUCAAUACUCUGAACCUUAAACCAUUAAACUAUAUCCCCUACUAAAGUACCGGCCUAAACUAUAUCCCUUAAACCUUAAACCACAAAAUAAAAACCCCUAAGUAUUAACCCCUAACCCUUAAAUCAUAAACCCCGACCCUUAAACCAUAAUACAUAAACAUUAAAAUAGUAACUCAUAAACUUUAAACCCUUAACCAUAUAACCUAAAUCGUAAAUCCUAAACUUUUUAGCGGCGUUUUACCAAAAGCGCCGCUAAUGCUCUUAUUUUUAGCGGCGUUUUACCAAAAGCGCCGCUAAUGCUCCGAUUUUUAGCGGCAUUUUACCAAAAGCGCCGCUAAUGCUCCGAUUUUUAGCGGCGUUUUACCAAAAGCGCCGCUAAUGCUCUUAUUUUUAGCGGCGUUUUACCAAAAGCGCCGCUAAUGCUCUUAUUUUUAGCGGCGUUUUACCAAAAGCGCCGCUAUUACUCUGCUUUUAACGGCAUUUUUGGUAAAACGCUGCUAUUGCUCUAUGUUUUACAAUUUUUUUGACGUUUUUUGAGAAAACGCCGCUAAAGACCUGUUUUCCUGUAGUGAUGGUUAAUUUAGCAUGUGAACAGCAUAUAAAUGUUUGCAUUUACAGCAUGGUUUAAUCAACUUCAAGUAGGAAAUUAAAUGCUGCAAAUUUCCAGCAUUCAAAAUCAUAUAUGGACAACAUUAAUAUGACAUUUUCGAGCACCUUAAAGACACAUUUGGAAAAUUUGAAGAACCAUUUGAACAAUCACAUUCGAACAUCUUAAAGACAACUAAAUUUUGUCUUGUUUUGGACAACCUUAGAGGUCAACAAGGCAUGUAUUAAACCACGCCUAACAUGUUUAUUUCAUCAUGCUUUGAACAACAAUAAACAACUAUUAAGCAUUAUAUUAAAUCAACUCUUUAACACAUUCAAACAACUUAAAAUACAUCAUUCGAAUAUCAUAAAUCACAACUUUCAGACACCAUAAAUUGUAGCAUUUAACACCUAAAUUUUCAGCAUUUAACACAUAAAAUGGUUUUCUCCUUAUUAAACACUUAUACGACCUUCAAAGCCAAAGUAUGCACCUGUAAGCCAAAGUCAGGCCAGUAAAGAAAUCACUUAUACGAUCCUCAAAGCCACAUAUGUCAAAGCACAAUUAUCUACUACUGGUUUAUCUACUACGAAAAAAUACUAAAUUAUAAGUUACAUAGAGAACAAUUUCAAUUAAUUUCACUUCAGAAAGCACCAAAGGAGUUGAACAACCUGCCUAAAUUUCAUCUGCUAAGGUGGAAAACCUCAGUUACACAAAAGCCUCUCUCAGCCUUUUUGAAAUAAAUAACCAGCAACUACUAUGAAUCUUAUAGCAAAAACAUAUAUAAGAACAAGUAUCUUACCUCUGCAACAAAAGGCCAUAAUUUGCUCAAUUGCUGCACUUUAACACUUCAAUUUACAGCAUUUAAACACUUCAAUUUGCAGCACUUUAACAUCUCAAUUAACAACAUUUAUACACCUUAAUUACAGCGAUAAAACAUCUCAAUUUCCAGCAACUAAACACUUCAAUUUGCAGUACUUAAACACUCCAAUUUACAGCACUCUUAACACUUCAAUUUGCAGCACUUUAACACUUCAAUUUACAGCAUUUAAACACUUCAAUUUGUAGCACUUUAACAUCUCAAUUAACAACAUUUAUACACCUCAAGUACAGCGAUAAAACAUCUCAAUUUCCAACAACUAAACACUUCAAUUUGCAGUACUUAAACACUUCAAUUUACAACAUUUAAGCACUUCAAUUUACAGCAUUUAUACACUUCAAUUUAUAGCAUUUAACACUUCAAUUUGCAGCACUUUAACACUUCAAUUUACAGCAUUUAAACACUUCAAUUUGCUGCACUUUAACAUCUCAAUUAACAACAUUUAUACACCUCAAUCAACAUCUCAAUUUCCAGCCUAAACACUUCAUUAGUGAUGCACUAGCAGGUUAAUUAGAGCCUGAAAUUGCUUUAUUAAAAAAUUAUAAAAUAUACUUCAAACAUUUUACUUUAGAAAUUGAGGGUAGUAAGCAGUUCAUUAAAAAAUUUAAAAAAAGUUAUAUAAGAUUUUUAUUAUAAAAUAUUUAAUAAAAAAGGUAAAAUUACAAAUAAUUAUAAUUAUAAUUAAAUGAAUAUAAUGAAACUUAACCAAACCAAGAGAUAUUGAUUUAUUGAAGUUAUCAAAACCUAAAUAGUUUUUGUUUUUAAUUUACGACAACAUUAAACUGAUUAUUUUACGACAAGUAAGAUACUGGUAAUUGACUAUGUUGACUAAAUGCCAUUUGAAACACGAGUAUGAUGACACAGUAGCAGAGAUAUGAAUAUAAACAUGCAAACAGAUGCAUGUAAGCCUGCAAACAAACACAUCAAGAACAUGCACAUGUCCAUUAAAAGGUCAUAUUUCUUUUUCUUUCUUAUAACAAGGAAAAAUGUCAAAUCUAUUUAAAAGGAACAAAAUUAACAAGACGACAGUCAGAGAUAAAGAGAACAAACAAUUUAAACAAGAGCAAACUCAAUUAUCAAUCUAAAUACAAAAGUAGAAGUUAUCAAUGCUUGCUUGGAUCAAAGUCAUCUAUGAACUAUGAUUACCAUUUGUCCUACAGCCACACAGACAACACACACCAAAAAAGAAAAACAACAAUAUAUUUAAAAAACAAAGUUAAGAAUAGAUGUUGUAGAUCCAUGGGUGACACCAUAUUCAUCUGCAGAAUAUGGAAUAGCUUUGUUCUUUUUCCCCCUUUUUUUAUUACUAUUAGUAUCCAUUAGAGGACCGAUGGUAGCAUAGCAAUAUUAGUUUUUUUUUAUAAAUAAACAAAUAAAUAAGAUCAUAAUGUUUUGUAUAACCUAAGAUCAGAGAAAUGUUUAUGGCGCAUACCUGAACUUUGCAUCAUUCUUAGGAAUUGAAGGUAGCCUAGUCAGCCUUCUGGUAGAAACACUUCCUCCAAUAUUUAAGUGAUAAUGAUAUAUCUUAUUAUUACUAAUGCCUGCAGCCAGACACAAAAUUGACUUUACUAAAUACAUAACGAAGAAUUUAACAGAAGGGACACACACACACACAUACACAUAUUAACAUCUCAAUUAACAACAUUUAUACACCUCAAUUAACAUCUCAAUUUCCAGCAACUAAACACUUCAUUAGUGAUGCACUAGCAGGUUAAUUAGAGCCUGAAAUUGCUUUAUUAAAAAAUUAUAAAAUAUACUUCAAACAUUUUACUUUAGAAAUUUAGGGUAGUAAGCAGUUUAUUAAAAAAUUUAAAAAAAAGUUAUAUAAGAUUUUUA
rnacentral:lncRNA from 1 species